rnacentral:rRNA from 1 species
GGUCUCAGUUCGGAUUGUAGGCUGCAACCCGCCUGCAUGAAGUUGGAAUUGCUAGUAAUCGCGGAUCAGCAUGCCGCGGUGAAUACGUUCCCGGGCCUUGUACACACCGCCCGUCACACCAUGGGAGCCGGUAAUACCCGAAGUCAGUAGUCCAACCUCGUGAGGACGCUGCCGAAGGUAGGAUUGGCGACUGGGGUGAAGUCGUAACAAGGUAUC